CACGUAGUCGACUCCUACUCUUCUUUCUCUCCAACGAAGAGGCGAUUAGGUUUCGCCAUCACCACCUUCUUUUGCGGCCGUCUUAGUUCAACAGAGACCUUGAACUCAUCAUCACAUCUCUUUUUCAUCCUCCUUAUUUCUUUUAUUCUCUCUAAACAUCAGCCACUAGAAUAACUUUGUAAUCUCCGCCGGCUACAAUUGGAGUUGUUCAAAGCUCGGGAGCAGUUCUUAUCAUCUUGGUUCCCAAGAUCGUAGAGGAAUAGAUUGAAGUUGUUCAACGACAGGCGAAGAUUUCCUCCCUGAUUAAGAUCAAGUGGUACUCUAUUUUCAUCUCGGUUUCCUCCUUCUCCAAGAAACUGUGAAAUUUUCUAUUCGUGCUCUGCUUGAGGUAGUGGAGAGUGGGGGAAAGAACAUUGAGGUUGGUCUGAUGACAUGGGAGGAAGGUACUCUGAGGCAGCUAGAAGAAGCUGAAAUCGAUGCUAUUGUGGCUGAGAUUGAAGCAGAGAAGGCUGCUACAGAAGCAGCCA